rnacentral:rRNA from 1 species
UACGGAGGGUGCGAACGUUAAUCGGAAUCACUGGGCGUAAAGCGCGCGUAGGCGGUUCGUUAAGUGGGAUGUGAAAUCCCCGGGCUUAACCUGGGAAUGGCAGUGGAUACUGGGAGGCUAGAGUGUGUCAGAGGAUGGUGGAAUUCCCGGUGUAGCGGUGAAAUGCGUAGAGAUCGGGAGGAACAUCAGUGGCGAAGGCGGCCAUCUGGGACAACACUGACGCUGAGGCACGAAAGCGUGGGGAGCAAACAGG